AGAGUUUGAUCAUGGCUCAGGAUGAACGCUAGCGACAGGCUUAACACAUGCAAGUCGAGGGGCAGCAUGGUUUGUAGCAAUACAGAUUGAUGGCGACCGGCGCACGGGUGAGUAACGCGUAUGCAACCUACCUAUCAGAGGGGGAUAGCCCGGCGAAAGUCGGAUUAAUACCCCAUAAAACAGGGGUCCCGCAUGGGAAUAUUUGUUAAAGAUUCAUCGCUGAUAGAUAGGCAUGCGUUCCAUUAGGCAGUUGGCGGGUAACGGCCACAAACCGACGAUGGAUAGGGGUUCUGGAGAGGAAGGUCCCCCACAUUGGUAACUGAGACACGGACCAAACUCCUACGGAGGCA
rnacentral:rRNA from 1 species